CCUACGGGUGGCAGCAGUGAGGAAUAUUGGUCAAUGGCCGCAAGCCUGAACCAGCCAAGUCGCGUGAGGGAAGACGGUGCUAAGCAUUGUAAACCUCUUUUGUCAGGGGACAAAAGACGCCACGCGUGGCGGUCCGAGGGUACCCGAAGAAAAAGCAUCGGCUAACUCCGUGCCAGCAGCCGCGGUAAUACGGAGGAUGCGAGCGUUAUCCGGAUUUAUUGGGUUUAAAGGGUGCGUAGGCGGACUGUUAAGUCAGCGGUAAAAUUGAGAGGCUCAACCCCUGCGAGCCGUUGAAACUGGCUUUCGUGAGAGGGCGAGAAGUAUGCGGAAUGCGUGGUGUAGCGGUGAAAUGCAUAGA
rnacentral:rRNA from 1 species